UAUGUAGUUGUGCCUGGGUAUUGCAUAUAGGAGUACAGGUAUACAUAUGCGAAUAUCUUUCACCACUCCCUGUAGAGUCGUAAAGCCGCAUUGAAGCGCUUUUGUUUUCCUUUUGUUGCCGCUUUAUUCCCAGACAUGUGCCCGAGCCGGCGCGUUGGUGCCAAGUCGCCGCUUGGUACCGCCAGCUCCCUACCAGCGAGAGAGAGCAAAUCCAGUUGGUUGAAUCGCGUUAAGAGUUAGGCGUACCCGAUGCUUAACAAUUUUGAAUUUCGAAUAGAUGCAUAAAUAUUCCUGCACUAUUGCGCAGUAGACAUCUAUAAUGGCUGCUAUCUGCGAAAACCAAAUCGAAUUAGCAUCAGUGACAGAUCCGAGAAUUCACGUGCACGCUAAUUAAAGCUAUUUUGGUAUAAUUAUAAUUAUUAGAAAUUUUCUUAGAAGCCGCACGACUAAUCCAAUCAAAGCUUUAAGCUAAGCUCAGCUCAAAUUAAUUUACUUGUAAUUUGUUUAUGCUCUAAAAACUUGUGGAAGCUUUUCUUUUUGUUUGCUUUAAUUAAUUGCGACAGGCCAAAUCUUUUAGGAACUGCUCUAAGUGCUCUACGACUUUGAACUUGAUCUCGAAUAUUGUUAAAUAAUUAUGUAGAUGAGCGCAGAAACCAGAAAACUGCUCUCCGGAUUAUUAUAUGCAAAUCAGCAACUGCCUUUUGAAUUUGGGAACGAAAACAAACAAAGCAGUCCAAAAACUAAACAAAUGAAAGUCAUGCGCAGUUUGAAGCUGGCAAUUAGUGGAUCUCUGACAGCUCCGACCGCAAAUGCUGGGGAUGCUGUAAUGUCCAAGACGUCUUAUGGGAACUGGGAAUGGGCCGUGCUGCGGCGGCGACUGGCGGGCGGGUGUUGGCGUCGGCGUUGGCGUCGUGCAUUGGGCGACUGGUUGCAUAAACCCUAAGCUGAAAAAGAAAUUUAAUAACUAAUAACUCAAUGUGAACUGAGAGCUGAAGCUCAUAGUUUGAGCGGCGACUGCGUUUGUUGGCUUGUGACAUUUCGAAUAUAAAAAUUAUGUAAUUACAGUAGAAAAAACAAAAACAAAAAACAUAAAUAAACUCAAGAUUGCAUAAUGACAACGGUCAAACGCCGGGCCGGGCAUUGGGUCAUUGAGAUACAGCUAAUAAACGAGCGUCUAGCAUGAUAUAAACUAUUAGUAAGGCGAAUGUAAAAUCAACAAAGCAGCCCGUCCCAAUCAAACUACGGAUGCGUUUGUAUACGUGUGCCAUCAUUUAUAAGAAUUAAAUAAUAGACGACGAUUAUACAUAAAGAAAAAAACCUGAAUGAUGGCAGCGCCAAUCACCCAAACGAACAGCAAAAAAACAUAUUAUAACAUUAUCAAGAAACCAAACAGAAAUGAUAAAAAAAAAACAAUUUAAACAAAAGCUAAACAAAAUAUA